rnacentral:rRNA from 1 species
AGCAGCCGCGGUAAUUCCAGCUCCAAUAGCGUAUAUUAAAGUUGUUGCAGUUAAAAAGCUCGUAGUUGAAUUUCGGGGUCAAUGCGUCGGUCGUGCCUUCGGUACGUACUAACGUUAUUGAUUCCUACCUUCUGACGAACCGUGAUGUCAUUAAUUUGGUGUUACGGGGAAUCAGGACUGUUACCUUGAAAAAAUUAGAGUGUUUAAAGCAGGCCAAAGCUUGAAUACAUUAGCAUGGAAUAAUGAAAUAGGACGUUUGACCCUAUUUUGUUGGUUUCUAGGAUCGACGUAAUGAUUAAUAGGGAUAGUUGGGGGCAUUAGUAUUCAAUUGUCAGAGGUGAAAUUCUUGGAUUUAUUGAAGACUAACUACUGCGAAAGCAUUUGCCAAGGAUGUUUUCAUUAAUCAAGAACGAAAGUUAGGGGAUCGAAGACGAUCAGAUACCGUCGUAGUCUUAACCAUAAACUAUGCCGACUAGGGAUCGGGAUGAUGUUAAUUUAUAAUGACUCAUUCGGCGCCUUA